UACGUAGGGUGCAAGCGUUAAUCGGAAUUACUGGGCGUAAAGCGUGCGCAGGCGGUUCGCUAAGACAGAUGUGAAAUCCCCGGGCUUAACCUGGGAACUGCAUUUGUGACUGGCGGGCUAGAGUGUGGCAGAGGGGGGUAGAAUUCCACGUGUAGCAGUGAAAUGCGUAGAGAUGUGGAGGAAUACCGAUGGCGAAGGCAGCCCCCUGGGCCAAUACUGACGCUCAUGCACGAAAGCGUGGGGAGCAAACAGG
rnacentral:rRNA from 1 species